rfam:Verticillium longisporum isolate VL1 genome assembly, contig: scaffold_15
GGAGAGGUGGCCGAGUGGUUAAGGCGCUGGUUUUAGGUAUAUCUCGAAAUUCCACCAGUGGGAAACCGCGCGAGUUCGAAUCUCGUCCUCUUCA